UAGAGCUUAUUAAGAGAAACUAAAAUGCUAAAAUCCGUAAUAUUUUAUUUAUAUUUUCCUAUGGUAAAGCUCUGCUCGUUGAUGUUCAUAUUUCCAUUUAGCAUUCGACUUCGUAACAACGAGUGCGAGUUCGGGAUUUCAAAAGCAAGAAAGAUUGUCGGUGCAUGUUUUCAUUUUGGAUGGAGGCUGCAUGCAAUUCUUUCACUACGAAAAGAUCUUCAAGGAUCCGAUCUAACCCAGGAUCCUCAUCAAUUGUACAAAAUAGCAAAUAGUGCUACCUUUUAUGCCUCCAAUCUUAUUUUUUCAUACAUUUGCCUCGGAAAAGUCGCUUUCAUUCAAGAUUUGAUGAUCACGAUGUAUAAAUACAGCAAAGAAAUGCAGUUUCUUAACACAUCAAAAAGGAAAUUUACAGGGUUUGGAGUCCUGAUAUGUGUGUUGUACAUAACUCAGGGUGUAGUGACGUUUAUUCUGGAAUCUGAGCUAUUUCUUUCCGGAUACGAAGACGGCUCAUUUUUUGUUCAAUUUAUCAAUCAGCUACAUGGUCAAGUUUUGCAUCUGUUGUUCGCCACUCAAGAAACUAACGCCACACUUUUGGGGUCUAACACUUUUUCAGUUUGGAAAUUGUUUUCGGCGAUGAUUUAUAUAAUUUUGGAAGGGUUUCAUACCAUCGCAUUCACAAUGUCGGAAUGUCUGAUUUGUGUCUCCUGCUUGGCAAUUUACACACUAUCCAAGGAGUUCAAUGACGAUAUUCAGAAUCGUGUGGUAUCACCCAACAACCUGCAGCAAGU